UACGUAGGGUGCAAGCGUUGUCCGGAAUUAUUGGGCGUAAAGAGCUCGUAGGCGGUGUGUCGCGUCGGCCGUGAAAACCUGCAGCUUAACUGUGGGCUUGCGGUCGAUACGGGCAUCACUGGAGUUCGGCAGGGGAGACUGGAAUUCCUGGUGUAGCGGUGAAAUGCGCAGAUAUCGGGAGGAACACCGGUGGCGAAGGCGGUUCUCUGGGCCUUACCUGACGCUGAGGAGCGAAAGCGUGGGGAGCGAACAGG
rnacentral:rRNA from 1 species